rnacentral:rRNA from 1 species
UGACAUAGUAAGGGCGACUGAAAUGUCACGAGCUCAGCAUGUGAAUCAGUGUUUGCCUUAGUAAGCACUGAAUUGUGGUCUUACGGUUGUUGCGCCAUUUCGUCCAGACCAUGUUUUUUGGAAUAAAAUAGCAAAGAGGGUGAAACUCCUGUUUGUCUGGUCACACGAAGCAAGAACCAYUGAGUCGAGUUGUUUGGGAUUGCAGCUCAAAUGUGGUGGUAAAUUCCAUCUCAAGCUAAAUAUUGGUGGGAGACCGAUAGCGUACAAGUACCGUGAGGGAAAGAUGCAAAGAACUUUGAAAAGAGAGUGAAAGAGUACCUGAAAUUGCUGAAAAGGAAGCGAACGAAGCUAGUGAAAGCUACGUCAUACUUUCCAACUUGCUUGCAAGUCGGACGCUGUGGCGAGCCUAGUUCGAUUGAAUUGCUCCAUGUGAAAGCAGGCAAAGAAAAGACACCCAUUCUCUUU